UAUUGGACAAUGGGGGCAACCCUGAUCCAGCCAUGCCGCGUGAGUGAUGAAGGCCUUCGGGUUGUAAAGCUCUUUUGGCGGGGACGAUGAUGACGGUACCCGCAGAAUAAGCCCCGGCUAACUUCGUGCCAGCAGCCGCGGUAAGACGAAGGGGGCUAGCGUUGUUCGGAAUUACUGGGCGUAAAGCGCGUGUAGGCGGUUUUCCAAGUUGGGUGUGAAAGCCUUGGGCUUAACCCAAGAAAUGCACUCAGUACUGGAAGACUAGAGGACCGGAGAGGAUAGUGGAAUUCCCAGUGUAGUGGUGAAAUACGUAGAGAUUGGGAAGAACACCAGUGGCGAAGGCGGCUAUCUGGACGGUUCUGACGCUAAGACGCGAAA
rnacentral:rRNA from 1 species